rnacentral:rRNA from 1 species
AGACGUCUACAUUAGAUACCCGCGUAGUCCCAGCCCUAAACGAUGCGCGUUAGGUGUAUCGGUGACCACGAGUCACCGAGGUGCCGAAGGGAAACCGUGAAACGUGCCGCCUGGGAAGUACGGUCGCAAGGCUGAAACUUAAAGGAAUUGGCGGGGAGCACCACAACGGGUGGAGCUUGCGGUUUGAUUGGAUUCAACGCCGGAACUCUUACCGGGACCGACAGCAACAUGAAGGCCAGGCUGAAGACUUUGCCGGAUUAGCUG